AACGAACGCUGGCGGCAUGCCUAACACAUGCAAGUCGAACGAGACCUUCGGGUCUAGUGGCGCACGGGUGCGUAACGCGGGGGAACCUGCCCUUAGGUUCGGAAUAACUCCCCGAAAGGGGUGCUAAUACCGGAUAAUGUCUUCGGACCAAAGAUUUAUCGCCUUUGGAUGGGCCCGCGUUGGAUUAGCUAGUUGGUAGGGUAAAAGCCUACCAAGGCGACGAUCCAUAGCUGGUCUGAGAGGAUGAUCAGCCACACUGGGACUGAGACACGGCCCAGACUCCUACGGGAGGGAGCAGUGGGGAAUAUUGGACAAUGGGCGAAAGCCUGAUCCAGCAAUGCCGCGUGAGUGAUGAAGGCCUUAGGGUUGUAAAGCUCUUUUACCCGGGAUGAUAAUGACAGUACCGGGAGAAUAAGCUCCGGCUAACUCCGUG
rnacentral:rRNA from 1 species